GCCGCCGUAGCUCAAUUGGUAGAGCAUCGGACGCUUUAUUCGAAGGUUGCAGGUUCGGUCCCUGCCGGCAGCA
rnacentral:tRNA from 1 species